UCCUCAGUAGCUCAGUGGCAGAGCGGUCGACUGUUAAUCGAUUGGUCGUAGGUUCAAAUCCUACCUGGGGAG
rnacentral:tRNA from 8 species